rnacentral:rRNA from 1 species
UGGGGAAUUUUGGACAAUGGGGGCAACCCUGAUCCAGCGACGCCGCGUGAAGGAUGAAGGUCUUCGGAUUGUAAACUUCUUUUAGAGGGGAUGAAUGCCUCCGUGAAUAACGGAGGGUGACAGUACCCUUUGAAUAAGCCACGGCUAACUACGUGCCAGCAGCCGCGGUAAUACGUAGGUGGCAAGCGUUACUCGGAAUCACUAGGCGUAAAGCGCAGGUAGGCGGUUCGGUAAGUCUUUUGUGAAAGCUCCUGGCUCAACUGGGAGAGGUCAAAGGAAACUGCCGAGCUAGAGUUUGGUAGGGGAUACUGGAAUUCCUGGUGUAGCGGUGAAAUGCGUAGAUAUCAGGAGGAAUACCUAUGGCGAAAGCAGGUAUCUGGGCCACAACUGACGCUGAGCUGCGAAAGCUAGGGGAGCAAACAG